UACGUAGGUGGCAAGCGUUGUCCGGAUUUACUGGGUGUAAAGGGCGUGUAGGCGGGGCUGCAAGUCAGAAGUGAAAUCUAUGGGCUUAACCCAUAAACUGCUUUUGAAACUGUGGCUCUUGAGUAUCGGAGAGGCAGGCGGAAUUCCUAGUGUAGCGGUGAAAUGCGUAGAUAUUAGGAGGAACACCAGUGGCGAAGGCGGCCUGCUGGACGACAACUGACGCUGAGGCGCGAAAGCGUGGGGAGCAAACAGG
rnacentral:rRNA from 1 species